UACGGAGGAUGCGAGCGUUAUCCGGAUUUAUUGGGUUUAAAGGGUGCGUAGGCGGCUUAGUAAGUCAGAAGUGAAAGCCCGCAGCUCAACUGCGGGACUGCUUUUGAAACUGCCAAGCUAGAGUGUCGGAGAGGUAAGUGGAAUUCCUAGUGUAGCGGUGAAAUGCGUAGAUAUUAGGAGGAACACCAGUGGCGAAGGCGGCUUACUGGACGAUGACUGACGCUGAUGCACGAGAGCAUGGGUAGCGAACAGG
rnacentral:rRNA from 1 species